rnacentral:lncRNA from 10 species
CACUCAAAAGCCUUCAUUUCUAUAACUAAUUCUGGAGUUUACAGAAGCAAAAAUCAAUAGGCUCAAAACUCCAUUCCUUUAUUCACUUGGCUCAGACUGGCUUGGGGCAGCACCUCUGAGCCCAAGCCAGAAAUUGCCAAAAGGGGGUUCCUGUCGGAAUCUUGGAGCUCAUCCCCCAAACUUGAGAUUACUGAGCAAGUGAGCAAGAUGUCUCUGUCUGGUCCAGGAAGAUGUCAGCCCCACACUGCCCCUCCCAGAUAAAGAGAUCAACACGGGACAGACAAGCAAAGUGGAUCAGCAAAGGCUGCAGUCACCAGCAUCUUUUCCAACCUUAAUGAACUGUAUCCUCAAAAGAACACUAUCAGACUGGUAAGACAAGCAUUAUUGUCCCACUUCACAGAUGAAGAGCUUGGGGGCCCUGUGGAUGUGUAGGAGAGUCGGCCUUCCUUUUUAUAGGCCUUUUGCUGAGCUCAGAGGACAGAGCAGAAGACAAAGCCGAAAGCA